ACAAGCCUGUGAUGAGACAAGUUAUCCCUGUCUGAAGAUCAUGUUGAGUUCUUGUAAUCUGAGGCUUGU